GUUACAAGUCCACAGGAAGGAACAAGGAGGUGGCAUUUCAUUCAUUUCCCAAAGAAAAAAAAAGGUGUGCAGAAUGGAUUAAUAACAUCAGGCGGGAGGACCUAUGUGGUUUACAGACCGAUGAAAUGAAGCAUAGGAAAGUAUGCAGUGACCAUUUCGCCAUUUCACAAUUUGUGAACCCAUUGGACAGGAUGCUGCAGUCAUUCACCGUCUAGCCAUGCCCCCUGUUCACCAAAGGCCAUUCCAGUCCACUAACAAGAGGCCAUCCCCCUCAACCUUUAAGAACUU